ACUUUCCAGAACAGAUUUGAUUCCUGAGAGAGAUUCAUUAUUUGAAGAUCCAAGACGCUUCAAAGUAUUUCUUUUGAACCAAAGUUCAAAUUCAAAACAGCAAUAUCAAAAGCUUUUCCAAAUCCCGGCAGUGCCCCCACCUCAUCCCCAACCUUAUCGUCCCAUUCGACUUUUCAACAUCUUCCAACCAUGAGCCACCAUCAACCACGAACGCACGAACCACAGGCGAUUUGGAGUUCAAUUUCAUAUAUGGAGUUCGAUUUCUGAUUUUCUUUCAACAAAAGCUUCGGAGUUGAGUUCGAUUUCAUCGUGCUAAACAACAACAGUUUAUGCAGAUGGAAGCAUAUGGUUGGACAUCCUUCAAAAUCAGUGGAGUCCAAUUUGUGAUGUUGCUGCUAAUCUGACAUCAAUUCUGGUGCGGUAUUAGCUGUAACAUAAUGUGACGAGCUUGGUGUAUUAAGAUCUUAUAAUUUUGUCACAUGUUCCUGCAUGUUCUUGGAAAAAUUUUGUACUAUUUAAUAUGUUUAGUUGGAUUUUUUUUCAACAUAAUUUGGUUUUGAUCAGGUUUUUAAAUAUCAAAGUGAAGUUGCUAGAUUGAAAUAGUUUUUUUCAUAACAAACAAGUUGUAUAGAUUUUAGAUGAGUCAUCUAGGAUUCUAGGUGUCACCUUCUGUCUAAUAAAUAUAAACCCAUAAUAUGUAACCUUCAUCAAUGCUAUUACUGCCUAGUUUACUUCAUGGUAAGGAGUUAAGAAAUAAUACCUUGUUUCAGAAGAAUAUGAAAAGCAAUCACAUUGAAAUGCAAGAGAAAAGAAGGCUAAUUGGAUGAUUCCGUUGAUGGGGAAAGUGAUAAAUAAAUUUGGGAGUUGUGGAUCUAUUGGAGAAUAGAUAAUGAAGCAAUUCAUUCUAAGCAACAAGUGAGUUACACCCUCAUGAAAAACAUAGUUGGCACCACCUGCUAAAACUUAUUCGUACUUUAAAUUAAUUUGCUCUAUUCUAUCAUCAGUUGGUCUGUAAGAUGGUGAAAUCUUCUUGAAUAUGUUUAGUAUUCUUUUUUUGUUCAAUCUAAUGGUGGUGCUACUAAAGUAAGCAUAUAUGGAGGCAAACUAGCCAUUUGUUCUAGACUUCUUCCGACUGUUGAUGUUAACAGUAUUUUUAGGCACCUCGAUCUUGUAAGAUAACAGGAAGACGUAGCAUUAAUAAAUUUUUGUAAGAAAAUCAUGAGUUGGGACAUUGGUUUAUUGAUUGCAUCUGGUGCAAUUGUCAUUUCUUUUAAUUAAUGUUGUUGGUCUAUAAAUGAAUUUCAAGAAACAUUGUUUGUUUAACUAUGGUAUAAAUUUGCAUAACUUAUUCUCUUGUUUUACUCCUUUAUGUAUUCCAUGACUUUUGAGAUUUGGAAAUAAUUUUCCUUCAUGCUUUCUUCAGUCUUAAAAUAGAAGAUUCAAAUGUGGUAGUUUAUGUUCAAUUUCUUUGUAAGUUGGAGGACUUGAACCUUCUUUUGAAAGUUUGUAGCUUUGAUGGUGAGAACUGUAAAUGAACUGGUUGCAUGCUAACAGAUUUUAGGAUUAUGCUUCUUGGUGCAAGGAGGAGGAAUUUGCUGACUUGUAAAUAAACAUGAACAUAGUUGUUCAAUGAGGGUUUCUUCUUGCAUCUCAAUCUGUGAAGAAGAUCAUUAGAAAUUAACCCUUAUAUGUUGGGUACAAUGGCUGGAGGAGCUGCCGACUGCCAAUUCUGUCACAGAAAUAUAGGCAUUAAGGAUGUUGUCUCACUUGCACAGACUGAAGACGAACUUGGCUAAGGCAUGGUUCCAUAGUUGUCAACCAAUGAUAAUAAGUCGUUCCUCCGAGUUAAGAAUGGCAGAAGCUAAGGGAAGAACUCAAACACCCGCAACUUCAUCUGACAUGCAGUCACUUCGAAGCGCUGUGAAAAUCUUGAGAAGGAAGUGCGCUCACUUAAACUUAACCUGGCUUUCAUGAAUAGGAAGGAUUUGGAACAGACCAAGCAGAUUGAAGAGCUUCAAAAGCAGCAUGAAGAGAUGAGAGAUGAAAAACAACGCCUUCUAGAAGAAAUCGAGAGGAUCUUAUCUGAACCAGAUAAGAUGUAAUUGAACUCUGGAUUGUUGGCAUGGCUGGCAUAGGUGGAUCCCUAGCAGUAGUUGCGUUGUGUGGAUUUUGUACUUUCUUGACUUUAGUAUCAUUGAGUGAAAUUGCAACUAAAGGUGCAAUGAAGGGCGGGGGGCCUUACUAUCUCAUUGGUCACGCUUUGGGCCCUGAAGUUGGAGUCACCAUAGGACUAUGUUUCUUUCAAGGGAAUGUUAUUGCUGGAUCUAUGAAAGGGAAAGAGCGCUGAAAUUAUUCAAAAGUGGCGGAACUCCAAUUUUGGUUGCGACUGAUGUUGCUUAAGAGGGCUGGAUAUUCCACAGGUUGCCAAUGUUAUCAACUUUGAUUUCGUUGUUAUCAGAAUCGUCACGUCACUUUGCGCUCGAAUCUGUUGCAACAAAGGGCCUUCUGCUAAUCUGUAUGUUUCUUUGAUAUUAUCCUGAGUUCACUUAAAUUUAUUGUUUUCAUUCCAUCUAUAAUCUUACUUUCAUAUGGGUUUUAACCCUCCUUGGUCCCGUAUUAAGAGGAAUUUGUUUGUUCGACUUCAAAUUGACAUUAAAAAGUGAAAUUUGGUACCUUUAGAAUUGUUUGGCUUCUGUCAUCAAUGUGUAAUCAUUUUGGAGAUUUGAGUGUUACCUUUAUUAGAUUGCUGCAAAUGAUUAAAGUCCGAUCAUUUGA